UACGGAGGGUGCAAGCGUUAUCCGGAUUCACUGGGUUUAAAGGGUGCGUAGGUGGAUUGGUAAGUCCGUGGUGAAAUCCCCAAGCUUAACUUGGGAACUGCCGUGGAUACUAUCAAUCUUGAAUAUCGUUGAGGUAAGCGGAAUAUGUCAUGUAGCGGUGAAAUGCUUAGAUAUGACAUAGAACACCGAUAGCGAAGGCAGCUUGCUAAGCGAUAAUUGACACUGAGGCACGAAAGCGUGGGGAGCAAACAGG
rnacentral:rRNA from 1 species